rnacentral:rRNA from 1 species
UACGUAGGGGGCAAGCGUUGUCCGGAUUUAUUGGGCGUAAAGAGCGUGUAGGCGGCCAGGGAGGUCCGUUGUGAAAACUCGAGGCUCAACCUCGAGACGCCGAUGGAAACCCCCUGGCUAGAGUCCGGAAGAGGAGAGUGGAAUUCCUGGUGUAGCGGUGAAAUGCGCAGAUAUCAGGAAGAACACCCGUGGCUAAGGCGGCUCUCUAGUACGGUACUGACUCUGAGACGCGAAAUCGUGGGGAGCUAACAGG